UGUGCAUUUGUAAAUUUCACCAGAAGCUUUUCAAAGUUAUUAUUCUUUUUUUUUUUUUUUUUUUUGUGGCAGAGUCUAGCUCUGUCACCCAGGCUGAAGUGCAAUGGCACAAUCUCGGCUCACUGCAACCUCUGCCUCACAGGUUCAAGCAAUUCUCCUGCCUCAGUUUCUCAAGUAGCUGGGAUUACAGGCACCUGCUACCAUGCCCAGCUAAGUUUGUGUUUUUAGUAGAGAUAGGGUUUCACCAUGUUGGCCAGGCUGGUCUCGAACUCCCAACUUCAGGUGAUCUGUCCCCCUCAGUCUCCCAAAGUGCUGGGAUUACAGGCAUGAGCCAUCAUGACCAGCCAGUUAUUAGUCUUUUUAAAGAAUCAACCUUAGACUUUGCAGAUUCUAUUUAUUGUAUCUUGGCAUUUCUAUUUUAGUCACUUUUGCUCUUAUUUUUAUCUUGUUUUUCCUUUAUUUGGUUCUAUUCUGUCCUUUUUCUAAUUUCUCAAGUCCCAUGCUUAGGUUAUUAAUGUUAACCCUUCUUCACUUCUAAUAUAGGAAUGUAAGAGUCUCUUUUUUAUUCUAACUACUCUUUAGCUGUAUCUCAUACGUUUGGAUUAGUGAUAUUUCUGUUACAAAUAACAGAAACAGUUAUUUGUGAAUAUGGUAUUUCUAUUUUUUAGUAGUUUUUCUAACAGCGUACCAUGCAUGUUUUAUAUGAGAAAGCAUGAAAAUAACCACCAGGAUGAAAUCUUUAGAGGAGAAUUCAUUCCCCACUUUCAGGUUGUAGGCAGUGGCAACAGAAUUAAUACCAAAAAUUCAUGGUUGUAUGUGGGGCUCGCUCCCGUGUGAGGCCCCUAGGAAAUGGGCCUUGCCAUACGGUGAGCUUGAGCCUGGACACAGAUCCCCGGUUGGGGAAGUCGAGCUGAGGGAAAGUAAGAACUGAGAGAGGGACUAUGUUAUUCAAAAUAAUUAACAGACAUUACUUUAUGGAUAUGAGGACAUGGGAAGCAUUGUAUCCACUUUCGGCUUCUUAUGGUUUAUUGCUUGAUUGUGUUCAUUUUGGACCCUUGUUACCUUCAUUGUAAAAUAUUAACUUAAGUAUUUACACUUGGUAACUUACUUACCGUUACUUACUGGGCGUAACUGUAACUUACCAUAACUUACUGGGCGUAACUGUAACUUGCUUACAAUUGUUAAGUACUUACUGGGCGUAACUUACUUGCUGGGCGUAACUUACUGUAACUUACUGAGCGUAACUGACUUACUGGGCUUAAUUUACUUACUGGGCGUAACUUAGUGGGUGUAACUUGCUUACUGUAACUUAAGUAUGCUGAUCUGGUGUAAACAACAUUAACUUCAGAAAAGUAUAUAAUGAAACAUAUUGCAAAAAUAAAAUUGCUGCUUGGACAUAGCCUAAGCCAGCCCUCCAGACUCUGCUUUUCUCUUUUCUUUCACUUCCAUGCACUCUCUCCCUCAGGUUGAAUGAGACAUCUACAUUGGUAGUCUUGGGGACUCCCGCAGGUCGGUAGCCCGCCGGCAGACGUGCCAGACCCCAACAGUUGUAGAUUCCUAAUGUGUAGAUAUCUUUCUGUAGCCGUCUAUGUUAUCAUCUCCUUCCUCAAAGUAUUUCAACUCUGGGAAAUCUAUCUAUGAAGAUGCUGAUUGUCUGGAGUGUGUGUGUGUGUGUGUGUGUGUGUGUGUGCACGUGCAUGCAACCGUGCACACGCAUAUGGCUGAAUGUGCACAUAUAUUACGAAUUCUUUCAACGUUGGGCAUAUGUACAAGACAAAUGACCUCCUUUAUGACAGCAGAAUCCAGAAUUUCUAACAAUUUUACUCUCGGUGAAACAGUUCCUUCUGUCUCUCAAUAUUCUCGGGAUUAGUGAAUGAAUAAGGGUGGCGAUCAUUUUCCUGUAAAGACCCAUGGGAGGAAGCAGAUUCAAGUAGUAGUGAGAAGCUUCUCUGUAGUGACUUGACUGAAGUGUCUUACAAUGUAAUACUCCAGCAACCAGAAGCUUCCACUCUAAUGGUGUAGCUAAUGCUCCUGCCUACAGUUCCUCCAGCACAUAAUCCAGGCAAUAGGUAACCUUCACUCUGUGAUCAAGCUUUGUGGGAGUUAGAUCAGUUUCUCUGAACCUUGAAAAGCUCUGAACUCAUGCAACUCCUAGGGCUUGGGUAGCUGUGGACUGGUGGACUCAGCAAGACUGUCCUGCGAUAGUUAUUUGUAUGAAAAUCUUACACUUUGGGGGAUCAGAAGGAGCAUGUGCAGUGGUUCUAAUCCUUGAAAAAACAUUUUUUAAAGACAGGGUUUUGCUCUGUCCCUCAGGCUGGAGUGCAGUGGCAUGAUCAUGGCUCACUGCGACAUUGACCUCUCGUGCUCAAGCGACCCUCCCACCUCAGCCUCCUGAGUAGCUGGGACUACAGGCAUGCACCACCACGCUCUGCUCAUUUUUAUGUUUUUUAUAGAGUCAAGGUCUUCUUAUGUUGCCCCGGCUGGUCUUGAACUGUUGGCUCAAGUGAUCCUUCUGCCUUGGCCUCCUGAAGUGCUGGGAUUAAAAGUGUGAGCCACCGCACGUUGUCUGAAAGGUUUUGCACAGUGAUUUUGUUUGUUAGGGGGUUGUCCAGUCUGUAAGGGUAAGACUGAUCCUUACUCAUCAUCCUGUGCUUUGUCACGACAACUUAGUUUCUCUUCCUCCAGUCACCUCUAGACUGAUUCUUAGCAGGAAGUGAAAACAAAACUUAUCAGAAAGACAGAGUAAGAGAGAGACAGAGAGAGAGAGAUUGUGUGUGUGUGUGUGUGUGUGUGUGUGUGUGUGUGUGUGUGAGAGAGAGAGAGAGAGAGAGAGAGAGGAUGUGUGUGUGUGUUUUCCAUCCAUCUGAAUGAGCCUGGGACACUCCAACGUUUCAGCAUUUUUCUCAGAUGAGAACAUCUUACUGUUGUCUCAAUUUUGUACUUGAGAUAUAACUACAAGAGGUCGGGUUACCUCCUCUGGGUCAAAACAUUGGUAAAUGGUGCAGUGUUGGGGUCCGGCACGUCUGCCUGGGGGCUACCGACCUGCGGGAGUCCCCGAGACCGCCAACGUAGAUGUCUCGUUCAACCUGAGGGAGAGAGUGCGCGGAAGUGAAAGAAAAAAGAAAAGCGGAGUCUGGAGGGCUGGCUUAGGCUAUGCCCAAGCAGCAAUUUUAUUUUUGCGAUAUGUUCCAUUAUAUACUUUUCUGAAGUUAAUGUUGUUUACACCAGAUCAACAUACUUAAGUUACAGUAAGCAAGUGCCCACUAAGUUAUGCCUGGUAAGUUAAGCCCAGUAAGUCAGUUACGCCCAGUAUGUUACGGUAAGUAAGUUACGCCCAGCAAGUAAGUUAUGCCCAGUAAGUACUUAACAAUUGUAAGCAAGUUACAGUUACGCCCAGUAAGUUAUGGUAAGUUACAGUUACACCCAGUAAGUUACGGUAAGUUACCAAGUGUAAAUACUUAAGUUAAUAUUUUACAAUGAAGGUAACAAGGGUCCAAAAUAAACACAAUCAAGCAAUAAAUCAUAAGGAGCCGAAAGUGAACACAAUGCUUCCCAAGUACUCAUAUCCAUAAAGUAAUGUCUGUUAAUUAUUUUGAAUAGCAUAGUGCCUCUCUUGGUUCCUGCUUUCCCUCAGCUCGGCUUCCCCAACCGGGGAUCUGUGUCCGGGCUCAAGCUCAUCGUAUGGCAAGGCCCAUUUCCUAGGGGCCUCACAUGGGAGCGAUCCCCACAGAUCCCUCAGUGCAGUGAGACACAAACUAGCUCCCUGUCUAGUUCUGUGCAGAAGUGACAGAAAAAUUAUAAAGUUUAACAGAAACAGAAUUAUUGCUAAUUGCCCUUGAAUAGGCUUCCGUCUACACUUGUAACUCAGCAAUCCUCUGUCAUGCAAUUAGUAGCUUUAUCAUGUGGAAGAGGAAGGGGUUAAAAUUAGUCAAAGUCAAGUCGUCUUUCAGGAAAAUUAGUCCUUUGCAGCAGGGGGGUAGAGAGAGAGAGAGUCAGGAAGUGAAGCACUGUUGGCCGGGUGCAGUGGCUCAUGUCUGUAAUCCCAGCACUUUGCAAGGCCAAGGCAGAUGGAACAUGAGGUCAGGAGUUUAAGACCAGCCUGGCCAAUGGUGAAACCCCGUCUCUACUAAAAAAUACAAAAGUUAGCCAGGCUUGGUGGCAUGCAUCUGUAGUCUCAGCUACUCAGAAGGCUGAAGCAGAAUAAUUGCUUGAACCUGGGAGGCAGAGGUUGCAGUGAACGGAGAUUGUGCUACUGCGCUCCAGCCUGGGUGACAGAGCGAGACUCUGUCUCACAAAAGAAAGGCAGGAAGGCAGGAAGGAAGAAAGAAAGAAAGAGAGAAGGAAGGAAAUAAGGAAAGAAAGAAAGAAAGAAAGAAGAAAAGAAAGCAAGCAUUUCUGACCUGGUGGCUCAUGGCUAUAAUCUCAGCUACUUGGGAGGCUGAGGCAGGAGGAUCUCUUUGCCCAGGAGUUUGAGGCUGCAGGGAGCCAUGAUUGCACCACUGCACAUCAUCCUGGGGGACAGAGUAAGACUCUGUCUCUAAACAAAUGAACAAAUAAAGAUAAAAUAAAGCAUUAUAUCCUCAUAGUGGCUUAGCAUUUGGUAGAAGUAGCAGAUAUUGUACAUCUUCUGGCUUUUCAGGGGGUGAGUACAGGCUUCUUGUGGUCAAAAGGGACACGGGGAGGCAGUUCUUACAACUCUAAUUUACAGUGCUGGGGUAGAGCUCAAGAAAGACCCUGCUCAGGAUACUGUUAGCAUUUGAGACGAUCCUCUGGCCUCCCUCCUCACCUGACUCUAUGAAGACAUUGUAAGGUAGGUGCAAUGCAUAGUUUGUGGCAAGGUUUCCUUUUGAACAUUAGCCUAGAAGGAAGGGGGGUGGCUACAUUUGUGCCACUGCUGAGCCACAGAGGCUCGACUAGAACCCCUUAGCAGCAGCCUGGAUAAACAAUGACAAAUGCUAACCCGGGGAGAACUGAGGUGGUUUCUAAGUUAGAACUAGAGUCUUUCCCAUUCUACCGCUGGCUUCUAGAUCCAAGUCUUGGCUCUUUUCUCUUCAGAGACGUCUAAACGGUACCCAGAAGACAGGAAGAGGUGGGAAGUUCGGAACGUCCUAGAGGCUUGUUGAACGGCUUAGACCAAAAUGCUGACAGUGAUACGGACAAUAAAGCCCAGGCGGAGGCUGUCUCAGACGGAGAUGAACUGUUUCCGUGUCUCUAACAUGCGUCUUCAGUGCUGUCUCUACAGUCUUAGGAACUAUGGCCUGUGGUGCUGCCGGGGCUCAGAAAACGAUUCCGCAAAACACGGCCCUUUGACCUGCUGAACUAAAGAAGCCGCCUCAAGGAGGAGCUGUGACAGAAACCCCCAGAUACUGAAGUGAGGAAGGACGAGGCUUUUAUUCAGCUAGCUGUGGAGCAUCAGUUUGCUCGUGUCCAAAAGAUGCUGAGCUCCCUGAAAAGCAGUUUCUUUCCCUUUUUAAAGACACGCAACUCAAGAGGAAGCAGAGAUCCCGUGUACCAAUGAAACUGAAACUCCUGAUGUCAGCUGGUCUGAAGGACCCCAUUGAGGAACUGACUCAACGAAGAAUAGUUUCCACAUCCUAAUGAUUUCAUCCCCUUCCCCUGACCAAUCAACAACCUUAAUUUUCCAACCCCUCACCCUCCACAAUCCUCUUAGGAGCCUUAAUGCAGAAGUUCUUGAGGAGAUGGAUCUCAGGGUCUACUCCUGUCUCUUCCCCUGGCUGCCCUGUGAUCAUGAAACUCUUUGGUGCAAACUGCCGUCUCAGUGCAUCGGUCUAACACUGCACAGAAGAACCCACUGGUCCUACAACACCAGAGCUGUUUUCUACGUUGUUUUAACUUUUUUGGGAAUCUCUGUACUUGCUGA